rnacentral:rRNA from 1 species
UACGUAGGUGGCAAGCGUUGUCCGGAAUUAUUGGGCGUAAAGCACGCGCAGGUGGUUUCUUAAGUCUGAUGUGAAAGCCCACGGCUCAACCGUGGAGGGUCAUUGGAAACUGGGGAACUUGAGUGCAGAAGAGGAAAGUGGAAUUCCAAGUGUAGCGGUGAAAUGCGUAGAGAUUUGGAGGAACACCAGUGGCGAAGGCGACUUUCUGGUCUGUAACUGACACUGAGGCGCGAAAGCGUGGGGAGCAAACAGG